rnacentral:lncRNA from 1 species
CCAGCAGUUGGCAUUCCAUCCCAUCCGCUCUAUCACAUUCCACCACCUCGUCUAUGCACCUACCAGCCUAUCAAUCAUCUGUCACCUACUGUCUAUGGCCUAUUAUCUAUCAUUGAUCACCUAUUGUCUAUAAUCUAUCAUCUAUUGUCUAUCACCUAUUAUCCUCUAUCAUCUAUUACCUAUCGUCUAUUAUCCAUCACCUACUAUCUAUUGUCUAUUAUCUAUUAUCUAUCAUCUAUCACCCAUCGUCCACUAUCUAUCACCCACUGUCUAUUGUCUAUUAUCUAUUAUCUUUCACCUAUCACCUAUUGUCUAUUAUCUAUCACCAACUGUCUAUUGUCUAUUAUCUAUCAUCUUUCACCUAUCACCUAUUGUCUAUUAUCUAUCACCAACUGUCUAUUGUCUAUUAUCUAUCAUCUUUCACCUAUCGUCUACUAUCAAUCACCUACUAUCUAUUGUCUAUUAUCUAUUAUCUAUCAUCUAUCACCUAUCGUCCACUAUCUAUCACCUACUGUCUAUUGUCUAUUAUCUAUUAUCUAUCACCUAUCACCUAUCGAAUAUUAUCUAUCACCUACUGUCUAUUGUCUAUUAUCUAUUAUCUUUCACCUAUCACCUAUUGUCUAUUAUCUAUCACCAACUGUCUAUUGUCUAUUAUCUAUCAUCUUUCACCUAUCGUCUACUAUCGAUCACCUACUAUCUAUUGUCUAUUAUCUAUUAUCUAUCAUCUAUCACCUAUGGUCUACUAUCUAUCACCUACUGUCUAUUGUCUAUUAUCUAUCAUCUAUCAUCUAUCACCUAUCGUCCACUAUCUAUCACCUACUAUCUAUUGUCUAAUCUAUCAUCUAUCACCUAUCGUCUAUUAUCUAUCACCCACUGUCUAUAGUCUAUUAUCUAUUAUCGAUCAUCUAUCACCUAUCGUCUAUUAUCUAUCAUCUAUCAAUAAUCUGUCAUCUCUUUAGCUGCUACCUACCUACCUUUUUUUCUGAGCCAAUGAGUGAAUGGGGCAUCUGAGUGGGGAGUGGGGCCUGAGGAGGGGUGAGCUCUGCCCCGGGGACGGGCAUCUCCCAUUUCCCUGGAGCCAGAUGGGAGAUGAGAAGGGCCCAGGGGCUCCUGGAGCUGCCGUAAGUCCCACCCUCCCCACCUGGCCUGGCAACUCCUUGGAUUCAGAGGAAGUGACCUCUUU